UACGUAGGGUGCGAGCGUUGUCCGGAAUUACUGGGCGUAAAGAGCUCGUAGGUGGUUUGUCGCGUUGUCCGUGAAAACUCACAACUCAAUUGUGGGCGUGCGGGCGAUACGGGCAGACUGGAGUACUGCAGGGGAGACUGGAAUUCCUGGUGUAGCGGUGAAAUGCGCAGAUAUCAGGAGGAACACCGGCGGCGAAGGCGGGUCUCUGGGCCAUAACUGACGCUGAGGAGCGAAAGCGUGGGGAGCGAACAGG
rnacentral:rRNA from 1 species